GACGAACGCUGGCGGCGUGCUCAACACAUGCAAGUCGAACGGAAAGGCCCUGCUUUUGUGGGGUGCUCGAGUGGCGAACGGGUGAGUAACACGUGAGUAACCUGCCCUUGACUUUGGGAUAACUUCAGGAAACUGGGGCUAAUACCGGAUAGGAGCUCCUGCUGCAUGGUGGGGGUUGGAAAGUUUCGGCGGUUGGGGAUGGACUCGCGGCUUAUCAGCUUGUUGGUGGGGUAGUGGCUUACCAAGGCUUUGACGGGUAGCCGGCCUGAGAGGGUGACCGGCGACAUUGGGACUGAGAUACGGCCCAGACUCCUACGGGAGGCAGCAGUGGGGAAUAUUGCACAAUGGGCGGAAGCCUGAUGCAGCAACGCCGCGUGCGGGAUGAUGGCCUUCGGGUUGUAAACCGCUUUCGCCUGUGACGAAGCGUGAGUGACGGUAAUGGGUAAAGAAGCACCGGCUAACUACGUG
rnacentral:rRNA from 1 species